UAAUCAGGAGAAAAUUUCCGGCCAAAAUGUUUCCGUGGUUCGAUCCAUUGCCCUUCAUAUGUGGUCCUAAAGAUUUACAGCUGUGCUUUGGGACGACCUUGAAUCAACGCCGCUCAGAGAUCCUUCUUGAGGUUAUCUUGAGAUGAUUUCGGGGUUUUAGUGUCCCUGCGGCCCAGUCCUCGACCAGGCCUCCACCCCCAGGAAGCAGCCCGUGACAGCUGACUAACACCCAGACCUUCCGUAUAAAACUACAACAAACGCAGACGAAAGACACCAAUUUAGAGAGGUCACUUGGGAUGGACCAUGACGCUAAGCCGGAUGAGGGAGCAUUUUUAUUGGCUGGGAAUGGACGCUGUUGUGAGGAGACAUUGCAAGGCCUGUUUCCCGUGCCAAAGGGCGGGGAAGAACGUCCUUGCUAUACCGAAGGAUGUGAUAAUAAAGUGUUAAUGGACUUA